UACAGAGGUCCCAAGCGUUGUUCGGAUUCACUGGGCGUAAAGAGCGCGCAGGCGGUCGAUCAAGUCGAGUGUGAAAGCCCCCGGCUCAACUGGGGAGGGUCAUUCGAUACUGAUCGACUCGAAGGCAGGAGAGGGUAGUGGAAUUCCCGGUGUAGUGGUGAAAUGCGUAGAUAUCGGGAGGAACACCAGUGGCGAAGGCGACUACCUGGCCUGUUCUUGACGCUGAGGCGCGAAAGCUAGGGGAGCAAACGGG
rnacentral:rRNA from 1 species